rnacentral:rRNA from 1 species
AAGCCAGACUCCUACGGGAGGCAGCAGUGGGGAAUAUUGCACAAUGGGGGAAACCCUGAUGCAGCGACGCCGCGUGAGUGAAGAAGUAUUUCGGUAUGUAAAGCUCUAUCAGCAGGGAAGAUAAUGACGGUACCUGACUAAGAAGCCCCGGCUAACUACGUGCCAGCAGCCGCGGUAAUACGUAGGGGGCAAGCGUUAUCCGGAUUUACUGGGUGUAAAGGGAGCGUAGGUGGCAGGGCAAGUCAGAUGUGAAAACCCGGGGCUCAACUCCGGGAUUGCAUUUGAAACUGUCCGGCUGGAGUGCAGGAGAGGUAAGUGGAAUUCCUAGUGUAGCGGUGAAAUGCAUAGAUAUUAGGAGGAACACCAGUGGCGAAGGCGGCUUACUGGACUGUAACUGACACUGAGGCUCGAAAGCGUGGGGAGCAAACAGGAUUAGAUACCCCAGUAAA